GAUGAACGCUGGCGGCGUGCUUAACACAUGCAAGUCGAACGGAAAGGCUCCUGCUUGCAGGGGUACUCGAGUGGCGAACGGGUGAGUAACACGUUGGUGAUCUGCCCUGCACUUCGGGAUAAGCCUGGGAAACUGGGUCUAAUACCGGAUAGGACGAUGGUUUGGAUGCCAUUGUGGAAAGUUUUUCGGUGUGGGAUGAGCUCGCGGCCUAUCAGCUUGUUGGUGGGGUAAUGGCCUACCAAGGCGUCGACGGGUAGCCGGCCUGAGAGGGUGUACGGCCACAUUGGGACUGAGAUGCGGCCCAGACUCCUACGGGAGGCAGCGGUGGAGAAUAUUGCACAAUGGGCGCAAGCCUGAUGCAGCGACGCCGCGUGGGGGAUGACGGCCUUCGGGUUGUAAACUACUUUCGCUAGGGACGAAACGCAAGUGACGGUACCUGGAGAAGAAGCACCGGCUAACUACGUG
rnacentral:rRNA from 1 species